rnacentral:rRNA from 1 species
GAUGAACGCUGGCGGCGUGCCUAAUACAUGCAAGUCGAGCGGACAGACGCUGAGCUUGUGCCUUUGACGUGAGCGGCGGACGGGUGAGUAACACGUGGAUAACCUACCUAUAUGUCUGGGAUAAUUUCGGGAAACCGGAUAUAAUACCGGAGAAUAUAUUGAACCGCAUGGUGCAAUGGAGAAAGACGGUGUUGGGGGAUCUAAUAGCUGGAUCCGCGCCGGAUUAUGUAGUUGGUAAGGUCACGGCCUACCAAGGGUACGAGGCGUGGCCGAGCUGAGAGGGUGAUCGGCGACACUAGAGCUUAACCGCGGACCAGACUCCUACGGGAGGCAGCAGUAGGCAAUCUUCCGCAAUAGUCGAAAGCCUGACGCAGCGACCCCGCGUGAGUUAUGAAGGCCUUCGGAUCGUAAAGCCCUGUUGUUAGGGAAGAACAGCUGUGUACGUAAAUAUACACGUCUUGACGGUACCUAAUCAGAAAGCACCGGCUAACUACGUG